rnacentral:rRNA from 1 species
GAUGAACGCUGGCGGCGUGCCUAAUACAUGCAAGUCGAGCGGACAGAUGAGGAUCUUGCUCCUCUGACGUUAGCGGCGGACGGGUGAAUAACACGUGUAUAACCUACCUAUAAGACUGGUAUAACUUCGGGACACCGGCGCAAAUACCGGAUAAUAUCUUGCACCGCAUGGUUCAAUAGUGAGAUACGGUUGUGCUGUCACGUCUAGAUGGAUCCGCGCCGCAUUAGCUAGUAGGUAAGGUACCGGCUUACCAAGGCAACGAUGCGUAGCCGACCUGAGAGGGGGAUCGGCCACACUGGAACUGAAACGCGGUCCAGACUCCUAAGGGAGGCAGCAGUAGGGAAUCUUCCGCAAUGGGCGAAAGCCUGACGGAGCAACGCCGCGUGAGUGAUGAAGGCCCUCGGAUCGUAAAAAUCUGUUAUUAGGGAAGAACAAAUGUGUAAGUAACUAUGCACGUCUUGACGGUACCUAAUCAGAAAGCCACGGCUAACUACGUG